GGAAAGGCCUCAUGAGAAGGAGAUACCUGAUAAAGACCUGCAGGAAAGGGUAAACUCAUGGAAUUUGCGGACCGGAUCGGAUGUAAGGGAUGAAGGAAAAAGGGAAGUGGAGGAUGACUGUAUAAAAUAUAUAUGUUCUCCCUGUGGAGACCCAGGCUAUUCCUAGCACUGACUUCCGCCUUCCUGAGCUUGACUGGUCGCGUGAUGAAGUGAUGACCUGAGAGGAAGGCCAGCGUUCACACUGAUGAGACUGGACAGUUUUGUUGUCUGAAGGAGAUGAGGAAAAGCACCUUCUGAAGACAAAAAGAGGGUUGUUUUACCCAGAGCCCCUGUGAGCGCGCAUGAUGUUCUGCCCUGAUGUCACUGGGUGGCGCUGAAGGAGCCUGGAUGGCAAGGCCUUUGCUUCCUGCUUCCGUUGGGUCCGAACUGAAUCCUGUCAGUCACAGCAACGAU